AGUUAAAGCGUACAGCUGUGAUCAGUGUGGCAGAGCUUUUACUCACAGUAGCACCUUACAGAGUCAUCUAGUUACCCACUCUGGAAUUAAGGCAUACAGCUGUGACUUUUGUGGAAAAACUUUCAGCCAGAGACGGAACCGAAAUACACACCUACACAUUCACACCAGACAUGAUGUGUACUGCUGUGAACAGUGUAGCAAAGUGUUUACAACAGGCGAUAAGUUACAACGACACAUGUUUACCCACACUGAGGGACGACCUUAUAAAUGUGACCUGUGUGAGAAGACUUUUAAAUCUCCACGUAACCUUAGAGAACACCAACAGAUCCACACCAGAAAGAGACUCUACAAGUGCAGUUACUGUGAGAAGCAGAGCGACACAGAUGGAUCCAGUUCUCAACCCUGUCAUCACUGUGGUGGUGGGGAAGACUUUCAUUGUGACCUCUGUGGAAAAACUUUCAGUUGCCAAGCUGAACUAAAAACACAUCAACGUAGACACACUGGAGACAAACUGAAAUACUGCAAAGAAUGUGGGAGAAGCUUCACCACAUCACGUGACUUAAAACGACAUGAACUGAUUCACAGUGGGGUUAAAAAGCACCUCUGUGAUCAGUGUGGGUCAUCCUUCAUCAGUGCAUGGGAGCUUAAAUCACACAAACGAGUCCACACAGGAGAGAAACCAUACAAGUGCAGACACUGUGACAAAAGCUUCUCACAAUCAAGUAGUCGUAACA